AGUGGCGAACGGGUGAGUAACACGUGGGCAACCUGCCCAAAAGAGGGGGAUAACACUUGGAAACAGGUGCUAAUACCGCAUAACCAUAGUUACCGCAUGGUAACUAUGUAAAGGUGGCUAUACUACCGCUUUUGGAUGGGCCCGCGGCGCAUUAGCUAGUUGGUAGGGUAAAGGCUUACCAAGGCAAUGAUGCGUAGCCGAAUUGAGAGGUUGAUCGGCCACAUUGGGACUGAGACACGGCCCAAACUCCUACGGAAGGCAGCAG
rnacentral:rRNA from 1 species